rnacentral:lncRNA from 1 species
CUACUCAAUUUGAAGAAGAGCAGGCAUCUUUUGCAAAUGGUAAAGUGGUACUGGAAACUGCUUUCCCUCCAAGCUACUGGCUUCUUGCUCUAUCAAAAAUUCAGUCCUUUGACUAAUUUUUUUUCUACAAUGGUUUUUGCUAAACUUCAUCAUGAGUUUGAAAAUGUGAAAACAGAUUCAUAUCUUAUAAGGCUCAUUGCAGCAGAAUUUGAAAAUGAGAAAAUGAGGAG